UAAACUGGUGGAAAGUCAACUCAACCCGAUCUCCAAUUCUGGGAAAUAUGGCUCGUGAGGUAUUGGCUAUACCUAUUUUUACGGUAGCUUCGGAGUCUGCAUUUAGUACUGGAGGAAGAGUCAUCGAUCCAUACCGUAGUUCCUUAACACCUAGAAUGGUAGAGGCCUUAGUCUGCACGGGAGAUUGGCUUAAGAAAGAUCUUUUCUCUACUUUAGAUGAUGAUGGUGAAGUUCUUCAACAAGUUGAUCAAGGUAUAGGAUUUUUUCAUAUUUCUUCUCAUUUUAUUUUAUUUUUGUUUUUGUCGUCUUUCUAUUUUAGAAUUUAGGUAUUAGUUACUAAUUAAAAGUUGUUGAAUAUAGACUUGAUAAUUAAUUUGAUUCACUUGGCAGAUAUAUUUUCCUCUAACGAUGGUGCUUGUUCUAUGGCGGCAUCAAUUGAUAAUCUUGAUGAUGACUAGAUAUAUUUUCCUCAAAGGUUAUGGUUGUUUGAUGAUUUUGUUGGCAACUUGGCAUCUUUUGAUACUUUGUGGUUGUUGUUUUAGAGAGAUUUUUCGGUGGUAUUCUUUUGAUGUUUUGAGAAUGAUUAAAUGUUAUAUAGAUUAGCUAUUGUCAUUAAAUUUAUAAAGAACCAAAUUCUAUUUGAAAAUUGAAUUUCUAAAAACUAGUUUUAAAAGUGGAUUUUUUGUUA